rnacentral:piRNA from 1 species
ACAGCAGAUCCAGUGGCCGCCAACGUC